rnacentral:rRNA from 1 species
UGGGGAAUUUUGGACAAUGGGCGAAAGCCUGAUCCAGCAAUGCCGCGUGUGUGAAGAAGGCCUUCGGGUUGUAAAGCACUUUUGUCCGGAAAGAAAUCCUUGGCUCUAAUACAGUCGGGGGAUGACGGUACCGGAAGAAUAAGCACCGGCUAACUACGUGCCAGCAGCCGCGGUAAUACGUAGGGUGCAAGCGUUAAUCGGAAUUACUGGGCGUAAAGCGUGCGCAGGCGGUUUGCUAAGACCGAUGUGAAAUCCCCGGGCUCAACCUGGGAACUGCAUUGGUGACUGGCAGGCUAGAGUAUGGCAGAGGGGGGUAGAAUUCCACGUGUAGCAGUGAAAUGCGUAGAGAUGUGGAGGAAUACCGAUGGCGAAGGCAGCCCCCUGGGCCAAUACUGACGCUCAUGCACGAAAGCGUGGGGGAGCAAACAGGAUUAGAUACCCUGGUAGUCCACGCCCUAAAACGAUGUCAACUAGUUGUUGGGGAUUCAUUUCCUUAGUAACGUAGCUAACGCGUGAAGUUGACCGCCUGGGGAGUACGGUCGCAAGAUUAAAACUCAAAGGAAUUGACGGGGUCAUAGCUGUUUCCU